rnacentral:rRNA from 1 species
CAGCCGCCGCGGUAAUACGAAGGGUGCAAGCGUUACUCGGAAUUACUGGGCGUAAAGCGUGCGUAGGUGGUGGUUUAAAUCCGUUGUGAAAGCCCUGGGCUCAACCUGGGAAUUGCAGUGGAUACUGGGUCACUAGAGUGUGGUAGAGGAUAGUGGAAUUUCCGGUGUAGCAGUGAAAUGCGUAGAGAUCGGAAGGAACAUCUGUGGCGAAGGCGACUAUCUGGGCCAACACUGACACUGAGGCACGAAAGCGUGGGGAGCAAACAGGAUUAGAUACCCCUGUAGUCCCUGUCUCUUAUAC